UUGAACGCUGGCGGCAGGCCUAACACAUGCAAGUCGAGCGGAUGAAGGGAGCUUGCUCCUGGAUUCAGCGGCGGACGGGUGAGUAAUGCCUAGGGAUCUGCCUGGUAGUGGGGGAUAACGUCCGGAAACGGGCGCUAAUACCGCAUACGUCCUGAGGGAGAAAGUGGGGGAUCUUCGGACCUCACGCUAUCAGAUGAGCCUAGGUCGGAUUAGCUAGUUGGUGGGGUAAAGGCCUACCAAGGCGACGAUCCGUAACUGGUCUGAGAGGAUGAUCAGUCACACUGGAACUGAGACACGGUCCAGACUCCUACGGGAGGCAGCAGUGGGGAAUAUUGGACAAUGGGCGAAAGCCUGAUCCAGCCAUGCCGCGUGUGUGAAGAAGGUCUUCGGAUUGUAAAGCACUUUAAGUUGGGAGGAAGGGCAGUAAGUUAAUACCUUGCUGUUUUGACGUUACCAACAGAAUAAGCACCGGCUAACUUCGUG
rnacentral:rRNA from 1 species